rnacentral:rRNA from 1 species
ACAACGCUGGCGGCAUGCCUAACACAUGCAAGUCGAACGAAGGCUUCGGCCUUAGUGGCGCACGGGUGCGUAACGCGUGGGAAUCUGCCCUUGGGUUCGGAAUAACUCAGAGAAAUUUGAGCUAAUACCGGAUGAUGACGUAAGUCCAAAGAUUUAUCGCCCAAGGAUGAGCCCGCGUAAGAUUAGCUAGUUGGUGGGGUAAAGGCCUACCAAGGCGACGAUCUUUAGCUGGUCUGAGAGGAUGAUCAGCCACACUGGGACUGAGACACGGCCCAGACUCCUACGGGAGGCAGCAGUGGGGAAUAUUGGACAAUGGGCGAAAGCCUGAUCCAGCAAUGCCGCGUGAGUGAUGAAGGCCUUAGGGUUGUAAAGCUCUUUUACCAGGGAUGAUAAUGACAGUACCUGGAGAAUAAGCUCCGGCUAACUCCAUG